GGGCCACGAGGGCCCCGGGAGAGCCACCCGGGCUGCAGGCAAGGGGCGGGGCAGGGACCGAAGGGUGAAGGGCAAGGGGAGCUCAGGGAAUGAACGAAUGCUCCCGACUGAUGUUUAACCCAGGACUCCGAGACUCCGACUGGUCACAGUCCUGCAGACCUCCAGGUCCUGCACCAGCGGCGCAGCGCUCCACUGGCCCGGAAAGCGCACACCGGCGGAAAUGAUUGGGGGCAGGAGCUGCUUUUUCAAUGAGAAGAAUGAACAGACCUAGUAGGCAUUACCUUCAGACCCAGAGAAAAUGGAUAAUGAAGCCCACAGAUUUCACUCCAGAACUGACUUUGCUGCAGCGGAGCGAGGAGAGCUGCCUGGCAACACAACGCAUCGCUGUGCAUAAACUUUGUUUACAGCCAAGGCUGGAGUAAAGGAACAGAUGGCAAGAAAAUCGGAUUUAAAGAAAGGAAGGAUGUGCCUGCAUCUGGGAGCUCGGUAAAUCUCUUGGCUUCUGGUGUGCAUACAAGGGUGACGUCUAGCUACCCCAGCAGUCGCAUCCCAGUUUGCUGUUGAUUUUUGCCUGUUUGGAUCUGUCUCUGAGGAUGGUUAAUACAUCUUAUUACAAGCAUUUAUCUCAUCCCUCCCACAGGAAAUGUGUUUUCCCAGGGAUUUGUAUGAUCCCUAACCUUUUAUGGAGAGCAGUUUCUUGAUCAUCCAUGUGAUUGUGUAUCUAAAAUUUCAAGAAUAUUUAAGCUGUUAAUCCUGCUUGUCUGUAAAAGAUGGGUUUAUAUUUCUAUGAUCUUGGAAAUAUUUACAAUGAGUGUGUAUAACAAGGAGAAAUAAGCAUAAACAUUUAUGCGUGCCACAUUCGUAAGUGUGCUUGCACACACACCCACUUCAUGCUUUAUUGUCUCUCUCCGGUGCUUUUCUCUGAAGGCAAAACCGUUUGAAGCAGCUGCCCCUCACAAUAUAUGAAAUAGCUAUUACCAAGGCUCACAGUAAAGCUGCCCAAGGCUUGCUUACCCCGCCCUCCAGAAGGAAAGUGCAAGUUACUCUUCAGCAGGGUGAUCAAGUCAUCAAUUCAGAAUAACCCUGUUUGCCCAGACCUUCUCCAGUUUAGCACUGAAAGUCCUGCAUCCUGGGAAACUACUCAGUCCUAGGUGAACGGGUGAAGAGUUGGUCAUGCUACUCUUCAGUCUCCUUUAAUCUGGAACUGUUGCUCAGCCUUUCAAUGUUAUGUCUUUCAUAACAUUGCCAUUUUUAAAGAAAUCAAGUCAGAUACUUUACUGACCAUCCCUCAACUUGAUAUUACCUGAUAUUCUCCCAGGUUAUGCAUUUCUGGUUGGAAUACUACAUUAGUGAUGUUGUGUCCUUUUUGAAGUAUCACAACUGGAGGCACAAAUGUCCAUCUGUCCUGCAUUGGUAAUGUUAAUUUUGAUCAUGAUCAAGGUGUGGUCUAGUUUCAUAAUCAUGUGCUUAUUAUUUCCUUUCCACAUAUGUGCUUAUAAUAAACUUCUGUUAC
rnacentral:lncRNA from 1 species